GGCGGACGGGUGAGUAACACGUGGAUAACCUACCUAUAAGACUGGGAUAACUUCGGGAAACCGGAGCUAAUACCGGAUAAUAUUUUGAACCGCAUGGUUCAAAAGUGAAAGACGGUCUUGCUGUCACUUAUAGAUGGAUCCGCGCUGCAUUAGCUAGUUGGUAAGGUAACGGCUUACCAAGGCAACGAUGCAUAGCCGACCUGAGGGGGUGAUCGGCCACACUGGAACUGAGACACGGUCCAG
rnacentral:rRNA from 1 species